rnacentral:rRNA from 1 species
AUGCGUUUUCAGUCUCUAGACUAUGUUGGUUUCAAUGAAAAUCUUAGAAAAAGGGUUCCUACCAAUGUUUUAGUUGACAGAAUUUCUGAACUUAAUGAUGAUUUAGCUAUUCGAUAUAAUGAAUUGGGAUAUUCUCUUGAAUAUAGGCUCACAAAGUUCUGUCAAAAGAAUGCUUAUAAUGAUGAAUUCGUUGUGCAAUAUGAAGGACCAAAGGAAGAAUCUAUACCUCCCAAGGUUGAUCUUGGAGACUUUUUUCCCAACAAAUUUAGCCCUUUUGAUUACUUUUGCUUGCCUCAAAGAAAACUUGCUGCUGAACAUAGAGAAUAUGAAAUGAGUUUUAAUAAUCUAUCUUACUAUUAUGGCAAUACCUAG